rnacentral:rRNA from 1 species
CCUACGGGUGGCAGCAGUCGAGAAUCAUUCACAAUGGGGGAAACCCUGAUGGUGCGACGCCGCGUGGGGGAAUGCAGGUCUUCGGAUUGUAAACCCCUGUCAUGUGGGAGCAAAUUAAAAAGAUAGUACCACAAGAGGAAGAGACGGCUAACUCUGUGCGAGCAGUCGCGGUACUACGGAGGUCUCAAGCGUUGUUCGGCAGCACUGGGCGUAAAGCGUGCGGAGGCUGUUUAGUAAGUCGUGUGUGAAAGGCGCGGGCUCAACCAUCGGACGGCACAUGUUACUGCGAGACUAGAGUAAGGGAGGGGGAACCGGAAUUCGCGGUGUAGCAGUGAAAUGCGUAGAUAUCGAGAGGAACACUCGUGGCGAAGGCAGGUUCCUGGACAGUAACUGACGCUGAGGCACGAAGGCCAGGGGAGCGAAAGGGAUUAGAUACCCGGGUAGUC